GACUCUCAACAAAGGAUAUCUCGGCUCUCGCAUCGAUGAAGAACGUAGUCAAAUGUGAUACUUGGUGUGAAUUACAGAAUCCCGUGAACCAUUGAGUCUUUGAACGCAAGUUGCACCCGAAGCCAUUCGGCCGAGGGCACGUCUGCCUGGGCGUC
rnacentral:rRNA from 1 species